rnacentral:rRNA from 1 species
GCUCCUCGUAGAAACAACAUGAGGAGUCGGACCUGCCCGGUGAAUCACCGUUUUAACGGCCGCAGCUGCAACUGUGCUAAGGUAGCGCUAUCAAUCGUCCUUUAAUUGGGGAAUAGUAUGAAUGGAUUGACAUGGAGUAACUGUCUCUGGGGUAAAGCUGAGAAUUUUCCUUUCUAGUCAAAAGGCUUGAAUAGUUGUAAAAGAAGAGAAGACCCUAUCGAGUUUGGCUAGGGCUUAAAGUGUAUGACAAAAUUAGUCUUGAGUGAGCUUUGUCAGGUCUAAGAUUUUAUUGGGGCAAUAGGGGGUUAAAAAGAACGCCUCCUUGUUAUAUAAAGAUCCUAUCUGAUAGAAAAAAAGCAAAAACUACCGUAGGGAUAACAGCGUUAUCGCUCUCUUUGAGGUCAUAUCGAAUGGGAGUAUUUGCGACAUCGAUGUUGAAUUAAGGAAGAAUCAAGGCGCAGACGCUUUGGGAAUAGGACUGUUCGUCCUGUAGUUCCUU